rnacentral:rRNA from 1 species
CCUACGGGCGGCAGCAGUGGGGAAUAUUGCACAAUGGGGGAAACCCUGAUGCAGCAACGCCGCGUGAGUGAAGAAGGUUUUCGGAUUGUAAAGCUCUUUUAGCAGGGAAGAGGAAGGACGGUACCUGCCGAGGUAGCCACGGCUAACUACGUGCCAGCAGCCGAGGUAAUACGGAGGUGGCACGCGUUGUUCGGAAUCACUGGGCGUAAAGGAUGCGUAGGCGGUUAAAGAAGUUAUAUGUUAAAUAUUGAGGCUGAACCUGUAGAAAGCAUAUAAAACUGUUUAAUUAGAGUGCAGGAGAGGUAGGUGGAAUGCCUGGUGUAGCGGUGAAAUGCGUAGAGAUUAGGAAGAACACCAGUUGCGAAGGCGACUUACUGAACUGUAACUGACGCUGAGGCAUGAGAGCGUGGGGAGCAAACAGGAUUAGAUACCCUGGUAGUC